CUGCUCAACAGGGCAGACGCCUCAUUCUGUGUGUGACAGCGGUAGAGACGAGAUGUGGAUCGCCGUCUGCCUCCUUCUCCUCAGUCCCGCGGCUGGGAACUCCGUGACCCAGAUUCCAGCGUCUGCGUCAGCCAGGGAAGGGCGGCCCGUGAAUCUGUACUGUCAAUACAGCACCACGUACCCGUACUACGCCCUGGGAUGGUACCAGCAGCUGCCCGGGCAGCAGCCUCUCUUCCUACUGCGCAGAAAUGAGAGGGGAAAUGAAUACAAGCCCGGUUCUGUGGCCCCUCGGUUUUCCUCCGAGCUCAGCACCGAUGUCAAAUCGUUCACACUGUCCAUAGACGGGGCGCAGCGGGCUGACUCGGCGCUGUAUUUCUGCGCUCUCUGGGAUCCACCGCGCUACAGAGCGCCCCGGGCUCCCGACACAAACUGCCGGAGCGGGGGGCUGUCUCCAAAACGAAGGGAGAUGAGUCAUUUUCUCCUAAGCGCACCAGGGGGCCGGGGGAGGGGAGCCACAUCUCAGGGGGCACCAGGAUGUGUGUUAUUGUUUACCUGUGAGGAGGGAGGUGUCACACACUUUUAA